AGCCCCGGGGGUCCCUGGGCAUCCCUGGGAGGUCCUGCAGGUCCAUGGAGAAGGUGGAACACUGGACUAAAGAGACAGGCUGAGGAAGCCCUCAAGUCACCCCUGAUGGAGGCCAGACCUUGAAUGUUACAAUCCCUCUGCUUAUCGACCCUUAAUAAAAAUCUGAGCAGGUCUUCUCUGCAGGACACAGGAGGCUUUCUGGAAAAAAAAACAUGGAAAAAAAGUCCGGAAGUGCUCGACCAAGAGAUCGCGAGAUGGGAGCAGAGAGUACAGGAAAGGAAGGAGGAGAAAGAAAGGCUGGAAACCUUUGAAUGCACAAAAAAAACAGGUCAUGAAAGAUACCACGAGCCAACUAAAAUCUCUGGCUGAAAAUGUGCUGGACACCAUGCAGUUGGAAGAUUUCACUAGGGACCGCAGUGAUGAGGGGAACUUGGAAGCAGAGCUAAAGAGGAAAGCAGAAAAUGAAGAAACCACCCCCUUAAAAAUUAAGUAAAUUUUUUUAAAGUUAUGUGCAUACAUUCUGUAUAUACAGAAAAGAUAUCUAAAUUGUAUGCACGCAGAAGGAGCAUUGCCCCCACAAGGAACAGUUCAUGCUAAAUGGUGCAGAUGAAGAGACUUUGACAAAGGAAGUUUCCUGAGCUGUGGGCAGGGAUGAGAGCUCAGACAAAUGAUGGGAAGCCUCCCAGAUGCCAAGGUUUCCCACCCCCAGGUUUCAAGGGAGGAGAGAGGAAGUGAUGUCAUCUGAGCCCAGUGAGGCCCUGUCAAGGGACCAGGGAAAACUGCCCCCACUUUUUGCUCCCAUCCUCUCAUUGACUGCAGGUGCACAGGCAGCUGCCUGAAAGAGGGCCUGCGAAGUGCAAGCCAGAGGAGUUGGCCUCCAUGGCACAGAGCAGGCAGAAAACAAAUUUGGAGAAUGACCAGCACUCUUGGGUUUAUUUGACUGAAAGUGCUUGUUUUAUUGCAUUCACU
rnacentral:lncRNA from 1 species